GCCAGUGUGGCAUAAGGGUCUGUGGUUGGGACUAUGACUCCGGAGACCAGGGUUUGAGUCCCUGCUCGGCCA